CGGUGCCUGCGAUGCUGGUGUACUUCGAUUGUAAUUCGAACCGAACAUUCAAUCACAUAGGGAGCCUUACCAUUGAAGAAAUGACAACAGGCCUGGUAACGUGCCGGGAAGUUGAAAAUUCUUCUGCGGGCACCCACCUGCUUUAGGCGGGUUCGUGAUCAAGAGAAGCUAACCGCAUCGCGGGCAUAAA
rnacentral:other from 1 species